rnacentral:rRNA from 1 species
UGGGGGAUAUUGCACAAUGGGGGAAACCCUGAUGCAGCGACGCCGCGUGAGUGAAGAAGGAUUUCGGUAUGUAAAGCUCUAUCAGCAGUGAAGAAAGAAGACGGUACCUGAGUAAGAAGCCCCGGCUAACUACGUGCCAGCAGCCGCGGUAAUACGUAGGGGGCGAGCGUUAUCCGGAUUUACUGGGUGUAAAGGGAGCGUAGACGGCAAGGCAAGCCUGGAGUGAAAGGCGGGGGCCCAACCCCCGGACUGCUCUGGGAACUGUCUAGCUAGAGUGCAGGAGGGGUAAGUGGAAUUCCUAGUGUAGCGGUGAAAUGCGUAGAUAUUAGGAGGAACACCAGUGGCGAAGGCGGCUUACUGGACUGUAACUGACGUUGAGGCUCGAAAGCGUGGGGAGCA